rnacentral:pre_miRNA from 1 species
AUAUGCCUGGCUCCCUGUAUGCCACUCGCAUGGCUGCCAACUCAUCAUGCAUACACUGCUAGCUAGUCGUUGGCUCCACUGCGGAUGGCGUGCGUGGAGCCAAGCAUGA